rnacentral:rRNA from 1 species
UUGUCGGAGAGUUUGAUCCUGGCUCAGGACGAACGCUGGCGGCGUGCAUAAAACAUGCAAGUCGAACGGGCCAAAGCCGCAAGGCCGAGGCUAGUGGCGAACGGCUGAGUAACACGUAGGUGACCUGCCCCGAAGUGGGGGACAAC